GCUGAUUUUGGUCCAGGCCAGGAGAAGAGAUCAGUUGCUAAUGUCACUUAGGAUUUAAGUCCUUUCUCGCCAUGUUGGAUAAAAACUUAAGAAACUCUGGGUAUAGAAAUUGUUCCCACAGUGGAGUGAUGAGGUUUUCAUGUAUUCAUCCCUGCCUAGGUGUGCAAGAGGAGAGGAAAUAGGCGGCUUUGGAGUCCAAGUAGCUUUGUAUUGGGAACUAAAAUCUGGAAAGACAUGGGCUGCGGUGGGGGCUUGGGAUCUCUUUCCUAAGAGCCAGGGCUGGCUGAAUGGUGGGUGGGAUCCAGAUUGGCAGCUGAUCACUGGAGGAGACUUGGAGAGGUCAUUAAAUACCCACCCCAGACUGUCAUUUGCAAAAUGGGGGAAAUGACAAGUCCCUUAGUGGGGGUUACAAUUGGUAAAAAGCCUUCCUGGUACCUGUGAUUAGCAAAUGGUAGUUGUAGCUUUUACUAUUUACCAUUGCUUUAAAAUGGGCUGAACCACAGUGCAGAGAGGGUACUGGAAAGUAUUCCCUAAGCUCCCUGCAGAGGAGGAGACACCAUGCAGGACCCUGUAGAGAAGGCUGGAGGGAGCACAGCCUCUCCCAUUGGUUUCAUGCCCAGGCACCUCUUUUUAAAAUAUUUUUUAUAUAUUUGUUUUUAGUUGUUG
rnacentral:lncRNA from 1 species